rfam:Pichia sorbitophila strain CBS 7064 chromosome J complete sequence.
GCGCGAGUAGUUUAGUGGUAAAAUCCAGCAUUCCCAUUGCUGGGCCCCGGGUUCGAUUCCCGGCUCGCGCA